rnacentral:lncRNA from 1 species
GAAGAAAAGUGUUCCCAAACUCAAUCUGUUGUUGAUCUCGUCAUCAACUUUUCUUCUUAUCUUUCUACCGACAGUAUGAUGAAUUUCCUUCUCAAGUGAAGCUUUUUGCUUGCUCCUCUCUUGAAAUUAUUAUCAUACAACUGCGCAUCCACGAUCUGUCUGUUUUACUCUUUUAUUUCUUAAACAACACACAUCGUUAGACAAACUCUCCUACAAAAUACUAAUAAUAAUAAUAAUGUCAAAGCUCUCGUCUUUAAACGUUCUAUAGGCUAAUAGGAUUCAAAGGCAAGACCUUUUCUCAGUUCCAUUAACUGUAAACACACUAACAGAAAAAUCCCAGAAAAAAUAUAUUGAAUUCAGACAGUACCUGUUUUUAAGAUGUAGGACCCUCGAGUGUAGUUGUCACGGUGUCGACAGAACUGGGAAAAAUCCAAUGCUAGAAAGAUCAAGACACAAGGAUAGAUGAGAGAGAAGCAAAUCGGAAAAGUCUAGUAAGAACGUACACGUUACUGUGUCUCCUUCUCCAAGCUUCUAAAACGACGACGGAGAAGACGAUCAGCACCAGCGUGAGGCCGAGUUCUACGACUGUAAAUCGGAAACAGAGAGACUGAGUGGUGAGAGAUUGAGUGGUGAAGUAUAAUAAUAAACUAAUACCUGACUUUCAAAUGUAGAGAACAACAAAUUGUCAUUGUGUUAUGAAUCUGGAGUCGAGGGUUCAUAUUUUAGAUAACUCAGGCUGGAAUGACAAUAGUUAACGGACCUGUCUUAUCAUAUCAUCAAGGGGUUUAUAUAACAGGAAAAACAAAGGAAGGUGGAACGAUAAUCUCUAAUGAAGAUAGGAGAAAAUAUCAGAAUUGAAUGAGCAAGAUUGGGGUGUAAUAAUUACAGAGAGAUUGCAGAGAUUAGAAUAGUGAAUUGGAAGAGUCGGAGUUGAAGGCGACGAACAUUCUGCGUAGAAUAAGAUAUGGGCUGUUCUAUAUAGGCCUAUUUUUUUUUUGUUCAGCCCAGAUUUACUGGACCUUUUAAAUUUUUUGUCGACAAAAUAAAAGUGACGUGGCAAAACAGAGCUUCAUGAUUGGCCUGAAUAAAAAAUCCUACGUGGCACGCUCGUUGCUCUUCUUAUUCGGCUUUUAGUAGUGUUAGAU